UACAGAGGUCUCAAGCGUUGUUCGGAUUCAUUGGGCGUAAAGGGCGCGUAGGUGGUGGGGUAAGUCGGAUGUGAAAUCCCGGGGCUCAACCCCGGAACUGCAUUCGAAACUGCCUUGCUCGAGUACUGGAGAGGAGACUGGAAUUUACGGUGUAGCAGUGAAAUGCGUAGAUAUCGUAAGGAAGACCAGUGGCGAAGGCGAGUCUCUGGACAGUUACUGACACUGAGGCACGAAGGCCAGGGGAGCAAACGGG
rnacentral:rRNA from 1 species